rnacentral:lncRNA from 1 species
CUGAAUUAUACUAUUUCAAAAUUCAAACCCUAAACCCUAAAACUCAACUCUAAACCCUAAACCAUCAGUCCUAAACUCUAUUUUUUUAAAUACGAACCUUAAACCCUAAACCAUCAAUCCUAAACCCUAUUUUUUUUUAAAUAAACCCUAAACCCUGAAACAUCAACUCUAAUCUCUAAACCCCGAAACAUCAACUCUAAACCCUAAACCCUAAACCUUCAACUCUAAACCCUGAAACAUCAAUUCUAAACCCUAAACCCUAAACCUUCAACUCUAAACGCUAAAACAUCAACUCUAAACCCUAAACCCUAAACUUCAACCCUAAACCCUAAACCAUCAACACUAAACCCUAAACUAUCAACACUAAACCCUAAACCCUAAACCCUAAAAAGUAAACUCUAAACCCUAAACCCUAAAAAUUAACCCUAAACCCUAAAACAUCAACUCUAAACCCUAAACCCUAAACCUUCAACUCUAAACCCUGAACCCUAAAUCCU